UAUCCGUUUUUAGAUGAUAACCCUUUCUAAAGCUUAUGGCCAUAAAUUUUAAUCUUCAUCUAGUCCGAAUAUUAUGGAUAUUAAAAUCAAUGAAACAAACGCAACAUAAUGUUACGCUUUUGGCGCGUCAUAUAAUCGAUAAAAAUCAUUUGAACGGAGGACUAUACCGCUUUAAACGGAAUGGCAAUUUUAAAUACUCUGGAACGAUUACGCCAACUGUAAAUUUCAUAGUAAUAAAUAUUAUAUAAUGUAGGCAAACACCGAUUUAACUCAACAAAUCGGGCAAAUACUUAUUUACGGCUGAAUAGUACAAUGUAUGCCUGGGAAACGUUGUUUGCGAAUCGAUUCUAUGAGGAGAAUCUGUUCAUAUUUGAGAAGGUGUCGAGAAAAAUAAAUAUAUAAAGACCCGCCUGAAAUAAAAUCACCGUAAAAAAAUAAAUAUUUUUUCAAAUAUAUUGACAAAAUAAGUUGCCAUUUGAAAAUUAAAGCUGAUACUUAUUUAUGAUAGUGUCGGGUAGAUAGAGGAGAUGGAAGAGAUAGAAAUACGAUUUUUUUUUUUUUUUUUUUUUUAAACAGUAUUAAAAUAAGUCAUUUUGUUUAAAAUUCUUCGAGAAAAUCGCUGGAUUAUGAUAAAAAUAAAAAAAAAACACCCGCACAUAUUACUUAGUUAUUUAAAACAUUAUCGAUUAUGCGACUAAAAUGAUUAUUAAAUGUUUUU